rnacentral:rRNA from 1 species
AUUGAACGCUGGCGGCAUGCCUUACACAUGCAAGUCGAACGGCAGCACGGGAGCAAUCCUGGUGGCGAGUGGCGAACGGGUGAGUAAUGUAUCGGAACGUGCCCAGUCGUGGGGGAUAACGUAGCGAAAGCUACGCUAAUACCGCAUACGAUCUAUGGAUGAAAGCGGGGGACCGUAAGGCCUCGCGCGAUUGGAGCGGCCGAUAUCAGAUUAGGUAGUUGGUGGGGGUAAAGGCCUACCAAGCCGACGAUCUGUAGCUGGUCUGAGAGGACGACCAGCCACACUGGGACUGAGACACGGCCCAGACUCCUACGGGAGGCAGCAGUGGGGAAUUUUGGACAAUGGGCGCAAGCCUGAUCCAGCAAUGCCGCGUGCAGGAUGAAGGCCUUCGGGUUGUAAACUGCUUUUGUACGGAGCGAAAAGGCUCUCUCUAAUACAGGGGGCUCAUGACGGUACCGUAAGAAUAAGCACCGGCUAACUACGUGCCAGCCGCCGCAGUAA